rnacentral:lncRNA from 1 species
GCCUUUUGCUGGGAGAGGUGGGGCCACGGCCCAGGGCUUCCCUGCACUUGUUGGUGCUUGGUGGCCUGGCAGUGUCCAGAGCCCACGCUAACAACUAGCUUGGUUUUCCAGCCACUCCCUGUGUCCCUCCACGUCCGUACUUCAGACUGUGCCUAUUUCAUCCUGGUGGACAGGUACCUGUCAUGGUUCCUGCCCACCGAAGGCAGUGUGCCCCCACCACUCUCCUCCAGCCCAGGGGGGACCAGCCCCUCACCACCUCCUAGGACACCAACCAUGCCCUUUGCUUCCUAUGGCCUCCACCACACUAGCCUCCUGAAGCGACACAUCUCUCAUCAGAGGUCUGUGAAUGCAGACCCCGCCUCCCACGAGAUCUGGAGGUCAGAAACUGCUCCAGGUUUUUGUUGAAAUGUGGCUUCAUCACUAUUCCUUGGAGAUGUAUCAAAAAAUGCAGUCCCCUCACACCAAGGUAUGUUUCCACAGUUUUUCUUCCCACCUCCUGCUUCUGACCCUGCUCAGCCUGCUGCUUCUUAUCCUGCCUCGGAGCGAGUUUUCACAGGCUGGAUGGUGGGAAGCAGAAACCCACCACCCACCUGUCACUCAGAAGCCGAGUAAGAAGUGGGCAUCAUUCUCUAGUUUCCGGUGGCGGGCAGGGGGCGUUGCACACUGACGUGUAGACACUUGAGGCCUGGAAGUCUGGCCUCUCUGGGGCCCUCCCUGUGCAGCUUCCUGAGCCCCCUCCCUGGCAGCAGGAACAGAUGAGGUUGUGGUGCUCUUGCUCGGGGGGUGGGGGAGCUGCGAUGCCUCUGGGAGCCACUUUGUCUGUCUCCUCGACCAUCAGCGGUGCCUUUGUGCUUUCCCAUGAAGGGGUGGCCUGGAGCCUUCUUUGCCUGCUCCCCCUACUCCCCCACCUCCUCCAGAGCAUGAGCAAGCAGCCCUUCUCGUGGCGAGUGGCACCUGGUGCCUCCUGCAUGCAGCCUGGCUUGCCUCCUCUCCCUCCUCCUCGCCUCUCCCCACUCUCUCUCUGGGCAGCAUGCUGCCUUCAGAUGCAUGGAGGUGGCGGAGGCCCUGGGUCGUUCCUGCUGUUGCCGUUCCUGGAGCUAGCACCACCCCUGGACCGGUCAGAGUGAGAAAGCAGCUAGGUGAACCUUAGAUCUCCAGUCAGUCAUCUCCAUGGAGCAGCUUGACUCAUGCCCAUCCGUGCCCUUGCCUGAAGUGGCAUCA